rnacentral:rRNA from 1 species
CCGGACCGGCGCACGGGUGAGUAACGCGUAUGCAACCUGCCCGUUUCAGCGGGAUAACCCGGAGAAAUCCGGCCUAAUACCGCAUGUGGCCGAGGGGAGGCAUCUUCUUUCGGCCAAAGGAGGCGACUCCGGAGACGGAUGGGCAUGCGUGACAUUAGCUUGUUGGCGGGGUAACGGCCCACCAAGGCGACGAUGUCUAGGGGUUCUGAGAGGAAGGUCCCCCACACUGGUACUGAGACACGGACCAGACUCCUACGGGAGGCAGCAG